CCUACGGGAGGCAGCAGUGGGGAAUUUUGGACAAUGGGCGCAAGCCUGAUCCAGCCAUGCCGCGUGCGGGAAGAAGGCCUUCGGGUUGUAAACCGCUUUUGUCAGGGAAGAAACGCUCUGGGCUAAUACCCUGGGGUAAUGACGGUACCUGAAGAAUAAGCACCGGCUAACUACGUGCCAGCAGCCGCGGUAAUACGUAGGGUGCAAGCGUUAAUCGGAAUUACUGGGCGUAAAGCGUGCGCAGGCGGUUAUGCAAGACAGAUGUGAAAUCCCCGGGCUCAACCUGGGAACUGCAUUUGUGACUGCAUGGCUAGAGUGCGGCAGAGGGGGAUGGAAUUCCGCGUGUAGCAGUGAAAUGCGUAGAUAUGCGGAGGAACACCGAUGGCGAAGGCAAUCCCCUGGGCCUGCACUGACGCUCAUGCACGAAAGCGUGGGGAGCAAACAGGAUUAGAUACCCUGGUAGUCCACGCCCUAAACGAUGUCAACUGGUUGUUGGGAGGGUUUCUUCUCAGUAACGAAGCUAACGCGUGAAGUUGACCGCCUGGGGAGUACGGCCGCAAGGUUGAAACGUCAAAGGAAUUGACGG
rnacentral:rRNA from 1 species